GCAUUCACAAUAAUUAGUUUAAUGACUCAUUAAAACAUUGGCAUUUACCCUAGGCCUCUCAUAGUGUCCCAUGCCAGACCACACUGUGGCCCCGAACCAUUGCCUGGCCUGUGCCCAUAGGCUGCUGGCACUGAAGUGGGUUGCACAAUG
rnacentral:snoRNA from 1 species